CAAGGUCUCAAUAGAGAUAAAAGAAACAUAAAUGCUUCAUCGUGGAUCCUGUCUCAACACUGCUGAAAACUGAUCACUGUCUGCCGGCACAGCCAGAGAUUCAGUCUCAUCAAUAGCUCCAAUGUCCUGGGAUUUUCCAUUCUUCUCAUUAUGGAGGCACCCGCAUAUAUUGUAGUCCUUUAAAAUAAAAAAAGAGGUCUCAGAGAAAUGCUCAUGGAAGCAGAAGACUGUAAGCAAGAGGCUGCCUG
rnacentral:lncRNA from 1 species